GUAGUUAGCCGGGGCUUCCUCCUUGGCUACCGUCAUUUUUUCGUCACCAAGGACAGAGGUUUACAACCCGAAAGCCUUCUUCCCUCACGCGGCGUUGCUGGGUCAGGCUUGCGCCCAUUGCCCAAUAUUCCCCACUGCUGCCUCCCGUAGGAGUCUGGACCGUGUCUCAGUUCCAGUGUGGCCGAUCAGCCUCUCAGCUCGGCUACCCAUCGCUGACUUGGUGGGCCGUUACCCCGCCAACUAUCUAAUGGGACGCGAACCCCUCCAAUUGCGGAUUGCUCCUUUGACCUCAUCCCGAUGCCGGGUCGUGGUCUUAUGCGGUAUUAGCACUUGUUUCCAGGUGUUAUCCCCCUCAACUGGUCAGGUUGUUCACGCGUUACUCACCCGUUCGCCACUAAGCUAUAUCCGAAAACAUAGCUCCGUUCGACUUGCAUGUGUUAGGCACGCCGCCAGCGUUCGUCCUGAGCCAGAAUCGAACCCUGA
rnacentral:rRNA from 1 species